AACGAACGCUGGCGGUAGGCUUAACACAUGCAAGUCGAGCGCCCCGCAAGGGGAGCGGCAGACGGGUGAGUAACGCGUGGGAAUCUACCCAUCUCUACGGAAUAACGCAUGGAAACGUGUGCUAAUACCGUAUACGUCCUUCGGGAGAAAGAUUUAUCGGAGAUGGAUGAGCCCGCGUUGGAUUAGCUAGUUGGUGGGGUAAAGGCCUACCAAGGCGACGAUCAAUAGCUGGUCUGAGAGGAUGAUCAGCCACACUGGGACUGAGACACGGCCCAGACUCCUACGGGAGGCAGCAGUGGGGAAUAUUGGACAAUGGGCGCAAGCCUGAUCCAGCCAUGCCGCGUGAGUGAUGAAGGCCCUAGGGUUGUAAAGCUCUUUCACCGGUGAAGAUAAUGACGGUAACCGGAGAAGAAGCCCCGGCUAACUUCGUGCCAGCCGCCGCCGCAGUAA
rnacentral:rRNA from 1 species